rnacentral:rRNA from 1 species
GAUGAACGCUGGCGGCAUGCCUAAUACAUGCAAGUCGAACGAGAGAGAACGAGGUGCUUGCACCAUGUUCGAUCUAGUGGCGAAUGGGUGAGUAACACGUGAGAAACCUGCCCUCUAGACUGGGAUAACUUCUGGAAACGGAUUGUAAUACCGGAUGUCACCAACAAAUCGCAUGAUCAGUUGGAAAAAGCUUAGAUGCACUAGAGGAUGGUCUCGCGGCGUAUUAGUUAGUUGGUGAGAUAGUAGCUCACCAAGGCAACGAUACGUAGCCGACCUGAGAGGGUGACCGGCCACACUGGGACUGAGACACGGCCCAGACUCCUACGGGAGGCAGCAGUAGGGAAUCAUCGGCAAUGGGGGAAACCCUGACCGUGCAAUGCCGCGUGAGUGAAGAAGGCCUUAUGGGUUGUAAAGCUCUGUUGCGAAGGAAGAACAAUCUAGAUAGAAUCUAGAUCUGACGGUACUUCGCCAGAAA